GUUCUAAGUCACUCAGUCCUCAGUAUACACGGAUGAGAUGCACAUGAGUAUUAUUCCUGCUUCGCAGAGGGGUUGAGUAGCUUCCCCGGGGGUUGCACAGGUGGGAGGUUGGCUAGUGAAAUUGGCUGAAAUUCACCGAUCCCCCCUCCCUCUUCCGUGGAUUUCUGAAAUCUUAGAAUUUGAGCCUCCUCAACGGAAACCUGCAGGAAUUGUCUCAAGAUGAAACAGGCUAAAGUAUCUUAAAUGGUAGAAACAUCACGAGUAAUUCUAAAGCCCCAGCUGAAAGGCGACCGCUGCAUUUAAGUCAUGUUUGCUGAGGAGACCACGCUCCCAGCUCCCAGCAGGCUGUCAGGGCAGCGUCCUUGCGGACACGAAUCAGUCUGGGUCCCCUGAGCCCCAGGAAAAAUGGGUGGGGGGCCCUGACCAUUCUGGGGAAUCUCCUGGGCAGGCCCACGGAGGAAGUUUGCUUGAAAACUGCACUGCAGCGUAGCGCACGCAGCUCACCCGUGCUUCCCCCAGGACCAUGAAGGGCUGCUUAAUUACAAAGCAGGUGGAAGAACUCCAGCAUAAGGGGUCAGGCGCUCCAUCAUUUAACUUCUUUACAGGAGAAGCGCUAGCAUACACCGCAGACUGGCUGCUCACCAGGCAAUUUAUGUUUCCUCUGCUCGAGCCACACUGUUGAGAAAGAAGAGAACGUUUUUUCUUUAAAAAAAAUGAAAUGCCAGGGGCCAAAGCUGGCAGUAAUUUUGAGAGAGUACAGUUUAUCACUCAGCAACAAUGAAGAGAAAACACAUAUUGGGCUGAGAUUUUGGAGUUUUAGCCUAAUUUCUGGAACGGACGCUCAUGUAGGACCUACCAUGUGUCAGAUGCUUUCAAUGUACAUUAUGUGACUUAAUCCUCACACCUGUAAGGAAACAUUGAGGAAAUUGCUGCCCUCUUCAAAUAAACUACGUGGGAGCUCACAGAUUGAUUCAGAAUGGACAGGCCACCUCCAUCAGGAUUCUGACUCAUUUGCUAGUGUCACUGGUGCCCUGGCAUCUUCCGAGAUGAGGGUUCCCCUGACCCUCAGUUUUUCUUUUAUUACUCUGUGGCACUGCUGAGACACAGCUGGAAUGUUUAAACAAGAGUGACUAAAGUCAUGGAUGACAAAAGGAAAAUAAACAGAAUAGCACAAACGUAGAGAAUAUGGCUUACAGGAUGCAAUCUAUUUGCUGGAGUUCUUAAGUCACUUCCAUCCGCCCGAGGCCCCCAGAAAAAGAUGAUCCCCAUUGUAUUCCAUUCUGUUUCCCUCUUGGGUCCCUAUUUAUUCAUUCACUUGUGCAUUCAUUUAUUCAACAAGUAUUUAUUAAGCAGCUAUAAUGUGCCAAGCACUGACCAUACAGCCUUGAACAAGUCAGAUAAAUCCCUGCCCCCCUAGGACUUUCAUUCUAGUGGGAAGACAGAUAAACAAAUGUAUAAACACUACAUAUAAUAAUAUCUGAUGGUAGUAAGUGGUAUACAGAAAAUAAGGUGAUGGGUCACCAAGGAUUUAUUGAAAGGCUUCAUUAGCCAGUCAUCUAAAGCAAUGUUCUCACAAACAUAUAUAUUUAUACCCAUUUUAUAGAGGAGGAAUUUUAAGCCUCAGACAGGCUGACUUGGCCAAAGUCAUAGGGUAAG
ensembl:lncRNA